GCGACGCCGCGUGGGGGAUGAAGGUCUUCGGAUUGUAAACCCCUUUCGGGAGGGAAGAUGGAGUGGGUAACCACUUGGACGGUACCUCCAGAAGCAGCCACGGCUAACUUCGUGCCAGCAGCCGCGGUAAUACGAAGGUGGCAAGCGUUGUUCGGAUUCACUGGGCGUACAGGGAGCGUAGGCGGUUAGGUAAGCCCUCCGUGAAAUCUCCGGGCCUAACCCGGAAAGUGCAGAGGGGACUGCUUGGCUAGAGGAUGGGAGAGGAGCGCGGAAUUCCA
rnacentral:rRNA from 1 species